CGAACGCUGGCGGCGUGCUUAACACAUGCAAGUCGAACGGAAAGGCCCUGCUUUUGUGGGGUGCUCGAGUGGCGAACGGGUGAGUAACACGUGAGUAACCUGCCCUUGACUUUGGGAUAACUUCAGGAAACUGGGGCUAAUACCGGAUAGGAGCUCCUGCUGCAUGGUGGGGGUUGGAAAGUUUCGGCGGUUGGGGAUGGACUCGCGGCUUAUCAGCUUGUUGGUGGGGUAGUGGCUUACCAAGGCUUUGACGGGUAGCCGGCCUGAGAGGGUGACCGGCCACAUUGGGACUGAGAUACGGCCCAGACUCCUACGGGAGGCAGCAGUGGGGAAUAUUGCACAAUGGGCGGAAGCCUGAUGCAGCAACGCCGCGUGCGGGAUGACGGCCUUCGGGUUGUAAACCGCUUUCGCCUGUGACGAAGCGUGAGUGACGGUAAUGGGUAAAGAAGCACCGGCUAACUACGUGCCAGCAGCCGCGGUGAUACGUAGGGUGCGAGCGUUGUCCGGAUUUAUUGGGCGUAAAGGGCUCGUAGGUGGUUGAUCGCGUCGGAAGUGUAAUCUUGGGGCUUAACCCUGAGCGUGCUUUCGAUACGGGUUGACUUGAGGAAGGUAGGGGAGAAUGGAAUUCCUGGUGGAGCGGUGGAAUGCGCAGAUAUCAGGAGGAACACCAGUGGCGAAGGCGGUUCUCUGGGCCUUUCCUGACGCUGAGGAGCGAAAGCGUGGGGAGCGAACAGGCUUAGAUACCCUGGUAGUCCACGCUGUAAACGGUGGGUACUAGGUGUGGGGUCCAUUCCACGGGUUCCGUGCCGUAGCUAACGCUUUAAGUACCCCGCCUGGGGAGUACGGCCGCAAGGCUAAAACUCAAAGGAAUUGACGGGGCCCCGCACAAGCGGCGGAGCAUGCGGAUUAAUUCGAUGCAACGCGUAGAACCUUACCUGGGUUUGACAUGGAUCGGGAGUGCUCAGAGAUGGGUGUGCCUCUUUUGGGGUCGGUUCACAGGUGGUGCAUGGCUGUCGUCAGCUCGCGUCGUGAGAUGUUGGGUUAAGUCCCGCAACGAGCGCAACCCUUGUUCACUGUUGCCAGCACGUUAUGGUGGGGACUCAGUGGAGACCGCCGGGGUCAACUCGGAGGAAGGUGGGGAUGACGUCAAGUCAUCAUGCCCCUUAUGUCCAGGGCUUCACGCAUGCUACAAUGGCUGGUACAGAGAGUGGCGAGCCUGUGAGGGUGAGCGAAUCUCGGAAAGCCGGUCUCAGUUCGGAUUGGGGUCUGCAACUCGACCUCAUGAAGUCGGAGUCGCUAGUAAUCGCAGAUCAGCAACGCUGCGGUGAAUACGUUCCCGGGGCUUGUACACACCGCCCGUCAAGUCAUGAAAGUUGGUAACACCCGAAGCCGGUGGCCUAACCGUUGUGGGGGAGCCGUCGAAGGUGGGACUGGUGAUUAGGACUAAG
rnacentral:rRNA from 1 species